rnacentral:rRNA from 1 species
UACGAAGGGGGCUAGCGUUGCUCGGAAUCACUGGGCGUAAAGGGUGCGUAGGCGGGUCUUUAAGUCAGGGGUGAAAUCCUGGAGCUCAACUCCAGAACUGCCUUUGAUACUGAGGAUCUUGAGUUCGGGAGAGGUGAGUGGAACUGCGAGUGUAGAGGUGAAAUUCGUAGAUAUUCGCAAGAACACCAGUGGCGAAGGCGCUCACUGGCCCGGUACUGACGCUGAGGUGCGAAAGCGUGGGGAGCAAACAGG